AUACGGAGGAUGCAAGCGUUAUCCGGAUUUAUUGGGUUUAAAGGGUGCGUAGGCGGUUUGCUAAGCGGGAGGUGAAAUGCCGGCGCUCAACGUCGGAAGUGCCUCCCGAACUGGUGGACUUGAAUGACUCUGCCGUGGGAGGAAUGUGUAGUGUAGCGGUGAAAUACUUAGAGAUUACACAGAACACCGAUUGCGAAGGCAUCUCACGAAGGGUUGAUUGACGCUGAGGCACGAAAGCGUGGGGAUCAAACAGGAUUAGAUACCCUGGUAGUCCACGUAGUAAACGAUGAUGGCUAACCGCUGGUUUAUUCGGAUCAGUGGCCAAGCGAAAGCGAUAAGCCAUCCACCUGGGGAGUACGACCGCAAGGUUGAAACUCAAAGGAAUUGACGGGG
rnacentral:rRNA from 1 species